UACAGAGGGGGCAAGCGUUGUUCGGAAUUACUGGGCGUAAGGGCGCGUAGGCGGCCGCCUAAGUCAGACGCGAAAUCCCUCGGCUCAACCGGGGAACUGCGUCUGAUACUGGGUGGCUUGAAUCCGGGAGAGGGAUGCGGAAUUCCAGGUGUAGCGGUGAAAUGCGUAGAUAUCUGGAGGAACACCGGUGGCGAAGGCGGCAUCCUGGACCGGCAUUGACGCUGAGGCGCGAAAGCCAGGGGAGCAAACGGG
rnacentral:rRNA from 1 species